rnacentral:lncRNA from 10 species
CUCAAUUCUGGUGAUGAUACAGAAACAGCAAGCAGUGGGACAGGAAUUCUCAUACCCCAGCUGCUUACAAGCUAGCUGAUAUGUUGUAAGAUGCUCUCUGGAAAAGCUCAAAGAACAGGGAAGUAAGAAAGGCCUCCAGGCAACAGCUCAUGAGAGACUGAGUCCUGCCAAUGAUGGGGAUUCUUUACAGAAGAGCCUUGAGAUGACUGCAGCCCUGUGAGAUUGCCAGAGCCACAGGACCCAGAUAAGCCACACCUAGACUCCAGACCCACAUGUGAAAUAAUAAAUCUGUAUCAACUUAAACUGCUAGAUUUUGGGGUAAUAUGUUAUGCAGCGAUAGGUAACUAGUACACAGUACAUUUAGUCCAUAAAUUAAAGAAUUAUGAAAACAAGAGUGAAUAAACACUUUUAAGUAGAUCACUUAAUUACUUUAAUAUCUUGACUUUUUAAUGCCCUUCCUAAGAGAGAAUGGUCAACUAUAAAUGAAGCAACAAAAAUAGGCUUUUGAGAACAAUAAACUCAAGUAUAUCCAGUUGAGGGAAUGAUUCAGUCAGAAUGAGAACACAGUAAACAGCUGAAAUGGAAGCUAUAGCUUUCCAUUUUGGUUUAAUACCUAUAGUUAUACGAUAAAAGUGUGGCAGCAACUAUGAAUUCAUUAUCAUUCUACCCUGUUAAUGUUUUGUGAUUUUAAGACUCCUUCAACUCAGAGGAGUGUGUUAGAUGCCUUUAAGAGUUUGACAAAUGGAUAGAAAUCUUCCUAUUUGCUAUUCCUUCCCCUUUUAUCUCUGUUUCCAUCCCCCAACCGCUAAAAUUUAGUCUUACACUUAAAUGAUAUUGAACAAGAAGACUCAUUCCAUACUAAGAGGCUAUAAAGUACUAUAAGGCAGAUAUAAUUAUCUUCAUAUAUUAUAAAGUUAGGCAUGGAAUAUAAGCAAAGUCUAAUAUCAAUAUUGAGUAAAACUAUUAAUGACACAUUCUCUGAGAAGUGUGGUCCAUCUCUAGUUACAAACAAUGAAAGGAUUAUAAAGAUGGGUUUUUCUUAUGGAUUUGGUUAUUAUGACUCAAUGUAAUAUUCUUGCUUUACACUCAGUUACCUUAAACAAUAAGUUCUUGUACAAGUUUAAAACAGAAUAUUAUUCUCAAUGCAACUAGCAACCACCCAUUAACAGUGGGAAAUGGGAUAACUAGCUAGUUCUCGUGCCUAUUUUCAAUGUCUUUCACAAGAUGUGUGUUAAAUUGAGCUUUAUUCUCCUAUAGUAUUUCCUCUGGCUACAAUUCUCAAAAUACAGAAGACUUCUUUAUGCUACAGCUUAUAGUUAGCUUAUUUAGAAACCCAGUGCUGCUACUUGUUAGCAAUGUAAUGUUUGGGGAGUUACCUAAUACCUUUGAACUUUAAUUUUUUUAUCUAUAAGAUGGUAAUCAUAAACUAGAGCACAAAUGGUUUUUCUUAAUGUUCAUGCAAGAUAAUAAAAAUGGGACUUACUAACUCAAAUCUUAAUUUAAAAGCAUGAGAGUAUUAAUGUAAUAUUAUGUACUGUGCCACACUACAGUGGAGGAGAAAUGAGUACAUGAAUAUUUGCUCUCUCAUUUGUGGAAAGAAAAGGGAUUAUUAUAAUAAAUACGUAUUAAACCUAGU